rnacentral:tRNA from 1 species
GCGCGGGUAAGCUCAGUGGUAGAGCUUUCGAUUGCAGCUCGAAGGGUCACUGGUUCGAACCCGGUCUCGCGCU